rnacentral:lncRNA from 1 species
UCUGUAUAAACAUGGAAAUAUCUACACCGCUAUCUGUAUAAGGAUGGAAAUAUCUACAACGCCAUCUGUAUGAACAUGGAUGUAUCUACACAGCUUACUGUAUAAACGUGGAAAUGUCUACACUGCUAUCUCUAUAAACAUGGAAAUAUCUACACCGCUAUCUGUUUAAACUAGGAAAUAUCUACACCUCUAUCUCUAUAAACAUGGAGAUAUCUACACCGCUAUGCCUAUUUACAUGGAAAUCACUACACCACUAUCUCUAUAAACAUGGAAAUACGGCCUCGCCGCGCUUCCAUGCGUGGUGCUCCGGGGCUGGAGUCUGCAUGCAGGCGGGACAAAACCCGCUUGCUGUCCAGCCCGAGG